rnacentral:rRNA from 1 species
UAGGGGAGCCGCAGGGAAACCGAGUCUUAACCGGGCGUUAAGUUGCAGGGUAUAGACCCGAAACCCGGUGAUCUAGCCAUGGGCAGGUUGAAGGUUGGGUAACACUAACUGGAGGACCGAACCGACUAAUGUUGAAAAAUUAGCGGAUGACCUGUGGCUGGGGGUGAAAGGCCAAUCAAACCGGGAGAUAGCUGGUUCUCCCCGAAAGCUAUUUAGGUAGCGCCUCGUGAAUUCAUCUCCGGGGGUAGAGCACUGUUUCGGCUAGGGGGCCAUCCCGGCUUACCAACCCGAUGCAAACUGCGAAUACCGGAGAAUGUUAUCACGGGAGACACACGGCGGGUGCUAACGUCCGUCGUGAAGAGGGAAACAACCCAGACCGCCAGCUAAGGUCCCAAAGUCAUGGUUAAGUGGGAAACGAUGUGGGAAGGCCCAGACAGCCAGGAUGUUGGCUUAGAAGCAGCCAUCAUUUAAAGAAAGCGUAAUAGCUCACUGGUCGAGUCGGCCUGCGCGGAAGAUGUAACGGGGCUAAACCAUGCACCGAAGCUGCGGCAGCGACGCUGAUGCGUUGUUGGGUAGGGGAGCGUUCUGUAAGCCGUUGAAGGUGGCCUGUGAGGGUUGCUGGAGGUAUCAGA